GUUCCUGAGAAAACACAUGGCAUGAGCCAGCUCACAUUUGGGUCUUACUCCAUGCCUGCAAGGCAGUCCAUACAAGAGCUGAGAGAAGGAAGGAGAGGCAGCUUGCAGUCAUCUGCGACUGGGAGAAACCCUGGAUCUGGCACCCAUGGAGUCUGACCAAAUGCUCCUGCAGUCAGCACUGAUCUUGACAUUUCAACAUAUCUAUCUAGCCUGCACUUAUCUGCAUCAGAUAGUCUAAAUACACUGUUACGGAAAACCAGGGUAAUACAACGCCCAGGUGUGUAUUAUAUCAUCUCAGGGUGGAGCAAGAGGAAAGCCUGCAAUGCUGGAAAGUGCAGGACACUAUCGAUUUUUCCCAGAAAUGCUGCUUUAUCAUCAGUGGCAGAGAAAAGGAACGUGAGCACAACCUGUGCCAGCACUCCGCCAGUGUCGGGGCUGCAAAUCAACAAGACAGAGCCGAUGCUCCAGAGCAGGUGGAGGUGAGAAGCUGAAGUCUGGAGGGAAAUAGCCCUAUGGAGAAAAGUGGUUUUCAGUAUACCUGGGAAGAUUUGUUUUGAUGUGGUCUGGUUAUAAGGGUUUGAAAAAUCAUA